UAAAAACCACAAACCAUGCUAUCGCUUCAAGUAUCCCAUAUUUGUACAUUAAAAAUGGAGAAAAUUUAUACUUACAUAAUAAUAUUCAACUCCAAAUACUCACCAAAUUUCUCUACUCGGCUAAUAUCAAAUAAUUGAGCUAUUAGGAUCAUUGGGACUUUUUGGCUUUCAAAUGUUGGGCUUUUUGGUUCGAGGUAGGAAAUAUGGGUAUAUGUGGCUAUGUUUCUUGAAUUGAGGUGAUUACGCCAAAUUUUGAAAGGUAAGCGUUU
rnacentral:lncRNA from 1 species